rnacentral:ncRNA from 1 species
CAAGAAGACCCUAUGGAACUUAAAUGAGUUAGUCCACAUAAAACAACUUUAAGCUAACUAACUAUUCAAAGGAAUAACACCUAAUCUACCAGACUAAAAAUUUUGGUUUAGGUGACCUCAGAGCACAAUACAAUCUCCAAGUGAUUAAAACCUAGACUAACAUAAUCGCUUAUUAACUUAAGCAAUUUGAUCAGUGGAACAAGUUACCCGAGGGAUAACAGUGCAAUCCUAUUUUAGAGUUCAUAUCGACAACAGGGUUUGCAACCUCGUUGUUGGAAAUUCCAAUGGUGUAACUACUAUUAAUGGUUUGUUUGUUCAAUAAUUAAAGUCCUAUAUAUGGUCUGAGUUCAGACUGGAGCAAUCCAGAUCCAUUUCUA